rnacentral:rRNA from 1 species
GGCGGGCUGGAACCUCUCGGGGUUACAGCCUUGCUGAAUUAUUCACCCUUGUCUUUUGCGUACUUCUUGUUUCCUUGGUGGGUUCGCCCACCACUAGGACAAACAUAAACCUUUUGUAAUUGCAAUCAGCGUCAGUAACAAAUUAAUAAUUACAACUUUCAACAACGGAUCUCUUGGUUCUGGCAUCGAUGAAGAACGCAGCGAAAUGCGAUAAGUAGUGUGAAUUGCAGAAUUCAGUGAAUCAUCGAAUCUUUGAACGCACAUUGCGCCCUUUGGUAUUCCAAAGGGCAUGCCUGUUCGAGCGUCAUUUGUACCCUCAAGCUUUGCUUGGUGUUGGGCGUCUUGUCUCUAGCUUUGCUGGAGACUCGCCUUAAAGUAAUUGGCAGCCGGCCUACUGGUUUCGGAGCGCAGCACAAGUCGCACUCUCUAUCAGCAAAGGUCUAGCAUCCAUUAAGCCUUUUUUUCAACUUUUGACCUCGGAUCAGGUAGGGAUACCCGCUGAACUUAAGCAUAUCAAUAGCCGGGAGGAAGGA